UGUCCUCCGUUAGGGAAUAUUCUGUUAAAAACUAGAAUAUUUCGUUAAUUAUACUUGACGGCGUCAGAAUAUUCCGUCAACUAUGACGAAAUAUUCUUCUCCUUCUUCCUUGGUUCAUCGGAGUCCGGCGCCGGUCACUGCUGCAAUUGCCAGAAAUUGGGAAAGUUUAAAACUUCAAUAUCUCACUCAUUUUUCCACCAAAACUCACGAAAUUUAAACCAAAUUGAAGCUUAAGAUGAGAUGCACAUAUUCAUACCACUUUGGGGGCCUAAAACCAACGGAAAGCCGUUUGAAAAACCUUCGAUAUUUUGGCCAAACUUGCAACUCGCUAAACUUGGGCUUCCCGACGUCCAAAUCACUUCAAAAUUACUCCAUGAGCUUCGUGAAGAUGUUUUAAGGCUCCCUAUAACCUUAAAACUCCUUAAAAACUUCACGAUUACGUUUGCAUGAACAGUACCCAUGAUCGGAGUUCCUGGGUUCUUAGGUUUUCGAAGGAUCCAUGUUCAACUAAGGGUAUGGAUGAGUUCCUGAGCUCACCAGGAACACGAAUAUGGUCUCCAAAACCUCAAUCCGUGAAGAAAUUGUGAGAGUGUGUGUGUGGUCCACGAAUAUGAGUUCUUGAGCUCACCAGGAACAAUGAUGUAUUGUACGGACAAUGGAAGAAACUCGAGAGAUGGAGGAGAGAGAAAGGUCAACAGGAGUUGGGUAUGGGUGAGAGUGUGUGUGUGGUCCAAAUUUGGGUUACUAACAACAACUAACCCCACUAACUUUAAGUUCCAAAAACUUAGGAACUAACUAAAUUAGUUUAAAAACCAAACUCAAGCCACAACACCACAUAAUGUACUCGACGUCCAAAGGUAAUUUAGUCAUUUCACGCCAUCAAUAAAAUAAUUCGGGACGGGCUAUGACAACCUAUCCCCCUUAAGCAAAAUUUUAUCCUCAAAAUUUCCUUACAAUAAUUAUAAUCCAGUAAUAAUCCUAAAACAACCUUGGAUACAUAUCUCUCAUCCGGUCAUCUGUCUCCCAAGUGGUGAUUCCUCCACAAAACUUUCACUAAGCGCACGAUCUUAUUUCUUAGAACUUUAUCUUUCCAAUCCAAAAUAGUCAUUGGCUCCUCAUCAUAAGUUAAAUCUGGAUUAAUUUCUAGCGGUUGAGGAGGUAUCACAUAAGAAGGAUAUGAGAUGUAAUGACGAAGCAUAGAGACAUGAAAAAUAUCACGCACUUUUGAUAACUUUGGAGGCAACUCAAGCCUGUAAGCAACCUCACCAACUCGCUCGGUGAUCAUAUACGGUCCAAUGUACAUAGGACUCAGCUUGUCUUUCUUUCCAAACCAUACUACACCUCUCCACGGUGAUAGCUUUAGAAAUACCCAAUCACCUACAUUAUACACCUGGUCAGUGGCAUGUCUAUCUGCUAGACUCUUCUAUCGAUCUUGGGCCGCUUUCAUGUUAAACUUAAUCACCUGAACAUUCUGUGUAGUCUCAUCAAUGAUCUCAGGGCCCACCAAAAUUCUUUCGCCAAGCUCUGACCAAUAUAAAGGUGUACGACAAGAUUUGCCAUAAAAAGCCUCAAAUGGCGACAUACCAAUACUUGAAUGAAAGCUGUUGUUGUAGGCAAAUUCCAUUAAAUCCAACUGUUUAUGCCAAGCGUCACCAAACUGCAAUACUGAAGAUCUCAACAUAUCUUCCAACGUCUAAAUGGUCAUAUCUGAUUGUCCAUCUGUUUGAGGAUGAUAUGUUGUACUAUAAAUUAAUCUUGAACCAAGAGCUUCCUAGAAUGCUGUCCAAAAUUUAGAAGUAAAUCUAGGAUCACGAUCGGAGAUAAUACUAACUGGAAUCCCAUGGUACUUCACGAUCUUCGAUACAAAUAGUUCAACUAAUCAUCUUAGAGGAUAUUUCCCUUACAGGAAUAAAAUGUGCUGACUUAGUAAGCGGAUCAACUAUCACCCAAAUGUCAUCAUAACCAUUCUGUGUACAAGGAAGCUUGUACACAAAAUCCAUAGUAAUAUUUUCCCAUUUCCAUUAUGGAAUGGGAAGUGGCUGCAUCAAUCCAAAAGGUUUCUUUCUUUCUGCUUUGACUUGCUGACAAAUGACACACUUACUCACAUAUUUAGCAAUUUCUCUUUUCAUACCCGGCCAAUAAUAAAAUGGUCGAAUGGUAUAAUACAUUUUUUGUACCUCCUGGAUGCAUUGCAUAAGCUGAAAUAUGUGCUUCAUCAAGAAUUGCUUUCUUUAAUUCCAUAUUAUUUGGCACAUAUAUCCUACUCUCCUACAUAAGCAUGCCAACAGUUUCUCGAAUUCUGAAGUCUUUCUUCUUCCCCCAAUUCCUUGCUUGAAUUAUUUCCUAGGUCUCUUCAUCAUCCAUCUGGGCUUCGAGCACACGAUCAAUUAAAAUUGGCCUGACUUGAAAAUUAGCAAGUAAGGCUUCCUCUCGAUCUUCCACUCCUAACUUCACUCCAGUGGACCUCAAAUCUGCAAGAAGAGGACUCCAGUGGACCUUAAAUCUGCAAGAAGAGGAACGUGACAAGCAUACAAAGCAUUUAGUCUAACUGGAGUCUUCCUACUAAGAGCAUCAGCCAUUACAUUUGCACGACCAAGGUGAUACUCACUGAGCAAUUCAAUCCACCUUCGUUGUCGAAGAUUAAGAUCCCUCUGAUUAAAAAGGAUACUGAAGAUUCUUAUAAUCUGUGAAGGUCUUACAUUUCUCACCAUAAAGAUAAUGUUUCCAAAUCUUCAAAGCAAAGAUAAUAGCUGCUAACUCUAGAUCAUGAGUAGGGUAAUUUUUCUCAUAAGGCUUCAAUUGUCAUGAAGCAUAAGCAAUCAACCUACCAUGUUGCAUCAACACAUAACCUAGGCCAUUUAAGGAAGCAUCAUUGUAGACCUCAAAAUUACCACUAUCAUCGGGGCGUGCCAAAACAGGUGCAUGAGUGAGAUAAUAUUUCAACUGCUAAAAACUUUGCUCACAAUUAUCAUCCCACUCAAACUUAACUUCUUUCCUAGUCAACCUCGUUAAUGGCAAAGCAAUGACCGAAAAAUCCUUAACAAACCGUCUAUAAUAGCCUGCUAGGCCCAUAAAACUCUGUACCUCAGUGACGGUUUGUGGUUGUUCCCAAUUCUGCACAGCUGCCACUUUCUGAGAAUCCACUUGAAUACCUUGAGCAGAAAUACAUGUCCUUAAAAUGGUACUUGAUUCAACCAAAAUUGGCAUUUGCUAAACUUAGCAUACAACUGAUGUUCCCUUAAUUUCUUCAACACCAAAGCAAGAUGUCAAACAUGCUCUGCUUUAGACCUAGAAUAUACCAAAAUGUCAUCAUAAAAAUAAUGACAAACGUGUCUAUAUAUGGCUGGAAUACUCGAUUCAUCAAAUCCAUGAAAGUUGCUAGUGCAUUCGUUAAUCCAAAUGACAUCCUCACUGCUGAUCUUCAAUCGAUAAUAACCAGACCUCAAAUCAAUAUUAGAAAAGACACAGGCACCUCGAAGCUGAUCAAACAAAUCAUCUAUAUGCGGCAAUGGAUAACGAUUUUUAAUUGUUACCCAAUUUAAUUGCCUAUAAUCAAUACAUAGCCUCAAAGUCCCGUCUUUCUUUCUUACAAACAAAACUGGAGCUCCCCAGGGUGAAGUACUAGGAUGAAUAAAACCUUUACCGAUUAAUUCCUACAACUGGACUUUCAAUUCCCUCAAUUCAGCAGGAGCCAUUUUAUAUGGAGUCAAAGAUAUAGGAUUCGUAUCUGGAAGCAAAUCAUUAGUGAACUCCACAUCUCGGUCUGGCGGUAAUCCAAGUAAAUCAUCAAGGAAUACAUCAGGAAAAUGCCUGACCACUCGAACAUCUUCCACAGUACUAGAAGCAACAUCAUUCAGCACUACAUGAGCUAAAUAUCCCUGGCAACCUUUCGAUAACAACCUUUUUUCUCUUACAGCAGAAAUAACAUUGUGCCUCACCCCACUACGUUCACCCACAAAAGUAACUUCAGGUAAUCCAGGAUGAUGGAAAGCAACUGUUUUCCCGUAGCAAUCUAUCUUGGCAUGAUUAUAAUGCAACCAAUAUGUGCCUAAGAUUACAUCAAAAUCAACAAUAUUUAACGGGAUGAGAUUAGCUGGCAUAACCACAUCCUCUACCAUCACUGGACAUCCUGGAUAUACACAAUCAACAUAACAUAUCUCCCCUCUAGGCAUGGCAAACUUAAGUCAUACACUAGAGGUGUAGGAUGAGGUUGCGUCACUUGAGCAAAUGUAUGAGAAAUGACAGAAUACAUAACACCAUAAUCAAUUAAAACUCUAGAAAAGUGACCAAGAAUGUUUAACGUACCCAUGAUCAAGUCUGGAUGAUUCUGAGCAUCUUGCAGAGAGAUAUUAUAAAUAAGUCCCUGGGCUUGCGGUCAUCCCCCACGACCUCUACUAGCUUGAUUACCUCGUCCCUGCACACCUCAUCCCUGACUUGGCUGACCAGAUUGUUUUGAAGAUCUUGCACUACUGGAAGCAAUCUCUACUUGCUGGGGUUGUCCUCCCUGGUACCAUUAAGAUCUACCAGCUAGAAUGGGAGGAUACGAUGUAUACCCUCCAGGAUACUGAGAAUACCCACUAUGGUAAUAAGGAUCCUGUGAAUACUGACUGCCCUGAAGCAUAAGGAGUGGCAUCACCCUAAUAAUGGUAAGCACCACCUCGACCCAUCUGACCAUAACUAGCAGACCCCAGAACUUUCUGGAUCGGCGCUGGUGGUGGCAUAGGAGGCUGCUGGGGCCUCUGCUGACUCUGGAGACAAUUUAUAGCUCUAUAUCCCAUCUGCCCACAAGUAAAACAUCCACUGAUGCCUCUCAUACACUCCCCAAAAUGCCUAUUAUUACAUCUGCGACACAAAUGAGCACUUCCUCUUCCAGCAUCUCCCUGCCUCUGGAAUCUAGGACCUCCUGAAAAUCUACCACCUCUCCUCUAACCAGUGGCACUAAAACCUUCGCUAGAAGUACUGGAACUAGUUCCACUCCUCUUAAAGCUUUAAGUCUUGCGAGGUCCUUGAGAAGACUGACUUUUACAUUUAUCAUCACGCCUUUGAUUUCCAUUCUUUUCUUCUUCAUCUUCACUCUCAUAGGGCAUAUUUUCUGAGUUCUCAAUCCUCAACAAAACCUCAUAAAACUCCUAGUAAGUGGCACAAGGAGUCGAGGUCGUUAUAGAACGUCAUUUCUUCUUUGUACCUAACCUGAAGCGACGGAGCAUCUCAAUCGGAUUAGCAGCAACCUCCAGAUGAUAACGAGAAAAAUCAAUGAAUCUCCUAUAAUACUCAUUUGCCGUCAUCUUUCCCUGCUUUAAUUGAGCAAACUCUUGCUUUUUGCGAUCAAUAUACUCAAGGGAAUAAACCUUUUUUGAAACAAUUGUUUAAACAUUUCCCAAUCAGCUGCUUCCUCUGGUGACAACAGAUAAGACUCUUGUCUCCAUCAGGAUGCAGGCUCAAUACCCAGAAAACAGGUAGUCGUCUUGACCCACCUAUCAGGAGGAAGAUUCCCCUGACUCGCAUUACACGAAAAAUCUUCUCAAGAUGAUUGAUCCAUUUCUCCGCUCCUUCAUGUCCUUUAUUCCCCAUAAAAUGAUUCAGCUUCAGAUUAUACACAGUCUCAAGAGGUAUCCUUUGGGGAGGAUGAAGCGAAUACUGAAUGGCAUUAGCUAUAGCUUCCCCUAACUGAGCUAUAUCGGGGAAACUAGGCUCAACAGAAGGACGUGGAUUUUCCAUGAGGCGGCAUAGUUCUGACAGAAGACAUUAAAAUAAUUAGAAAUUCUCAAGAUAUGCAGGACUACAAACCUAAAGCUCUGAUACCAAACUGACACACCCUGACCUAAACUAGGGCAUGCUGGCCGUCAUGUGAGGGUGACGUAGCCAUGUGCACAGUGCGGAAGCAAUAGAUAUAUAAAGAAUUAUGAAUAAACAAAAACCAAAUCAACUAAAGUACUAGAUAAGAUAUGGUGCCAGCGUGAGAUUAAGUGUGAAAUACACAACUAGAGCAUAAAUAGACUAAGUACAGUCAAGCAGGACAAGUAUUAAUUAUACACACCCAAGGGUGAUCCUACAUUUAUGAUGUUCUGUCAGAACAACCGUCGAAAUUCUCGUGAGCCACCAAAGCAAAUCUACCUAAAACAUGGAGGGGCGUAAAACAGAAAGUGUGAGUGGGCAAAAACAAAGCUUUUCAAAAUCAUUUCAUUUCUCAAAAGUUCUAACACCUCGCCGUAAAACCUGUAUAAUUUCCCAGAAAAUAAUAAUAAUAAUAAUAAUAAGCUGUAUCAGAAAUCAUACUCAAGAUGAAAGUCCAUAGAAGUAUACCAUGCCAAAGUAUCUCAAUGCAAUGCUAUAAGUAAUCCAGGCAAAAUAUGUCAACGUCAAAUAUCGCAUCAGCCAAAUCCCUCUAACUCAAUCUGCAUGGUUGAGUAUAUAGCUCAUACCCAAUCUCAAUCAUAUCAAAUCAAAUCCUGAACACGAGUCGGAACCACCUAAAGUGGUCUGUAUGACAAAACUAGGUGUAAAAUAAGUAUGUUCUAGUGCUACGAUCACGUGAAGGCUGUGUAAAUAAUCUUGUGUCACUUACGAGUCGGAACCACGUAAAGUGGUAUGUACGACAAGCCUAUGCACCUAACUUGGAUCCAAGGUGAGCAUAUGGUGCGGGAGGUGAACAUGAUGUGAAGGACUGUGCCCUAACUCGGGGCGGGAGCACUAACACCGGGGUGCAGGUUUAUGAGCUCUCAAUACAUCACAUCAUAUCUCACAUAACUGAAGCAAUCUCCUAUCUUUAAUUUAUGAACUUACCUGGCAUUUACAUGUGUGUCCGCAGUACCAAUCAUAAAUGUAUGCAACUACUAAUGCAUAAUAAGAUAGAUAGAUACUUUGCAUGGCAUUUACAACGUAUAAUCAUUUAAAUUCAUUUUCUGGGAAAAAUCUCAAGUAUAUAGGUAUAUACGAAGAACCAAAAGCCCACUCACUGAUAUGUCGAAGGGUCGUAGCCCUCGAGCCUCGAUUGAUGGUGCUCGUCCUCAGGAUAGGUCUCACCUAUAUGCUAAAUAACUGAAUAAAUGUUAUUUAAUGCAUAUAUACAAAACUAGGAAAUAACUUCUCAUAUAUUACUCAAAUGGGGUAUUUGAAUAUACCACCAUGAUCUACUCAACCUCAGGAACAUCUCCAUAUUUUUAGAAAAAAAUUUCAUGACACCACGCGUCGGCCAAGGCACGGCCAGACGCUCGGCUCACGCACAGGCACAUGCCUGGCACACCAAACGGAUUCCCUAAUGACGUUAGGGAAUAUUCUGUUAAAAACUAGAAUAUUCCAUUAAUUAUACCUGACGGCGUUAGAAUAUUCCGUCAACUUUGACGGAAUAUUCUUCUCCUUUUUCCUUGGUUCGUCGAAGUCCAGCGCUAGUCAUUGCUGCGAUCACCGAAAAUUAAGAAAGUUUAAAACUUCAAUAUCUUGCACAGUUUUCCACCAAAACGCACGAAAUGUAAACCAAAUUGAAGCUUAAGAUGAGAAGAACAUAUUCAUACCACUUUGGGGACCUAAAACCAAUGGAAAGUUGCCUAAAAAACCUUCGAUAUUCCGGCCAAACUUGCAAAUCGCUAAACCUGGGCUUCCCGACAUCUAAAUUACUUCAAAAUUACUCCCAGAGCUUCAUGAAGAUGUUUUAAGGCUCCCUAUAACCUUAAAACUCCUUAAAAAACUUCAUGAUUACGUUUGCAUGAACAAUACCCACGAUCGGGGUUCCUAGGUUCUCAGGUUUUCAAAGGAUCCAUGUUCAACUAAGGGUAUGGAUGAGUUCCUGAGCUCACCAGGAACACGAAUAUGGUCUCCAAAACCUUGAUUCGUGAAGAAAUUGUUUGGUUUGAGGUUUGUCUGUACGUAUUGCACGAACAAUGGAGGAAACUCGAGAGAGAGAGGACAGAGAAAGGUUAAUGGGAGUUGGGUAUGGGUGAGACUGUGUGUGGUCUAGAUUUAGGUUACUAACAACAACUAACCCCACUAACUUUAAGUUCCAAAAACUUAGGAACUAACUAAAUUAGUUUAAAACCCAAACUCAAGCCACAACACCACAUAACGUACUCGACGUCCAAGGGCAAUUUAGUCAUUUCACGCCAUCAAUAAAAUAAUUUGGGAGGGCUGUGACACGUUGACUCAGCAAUGGUCACCUAAGUACCGCUGGUCUUCGCUAGUUCAAUAUCUAUCAUCUCUGCUGCUGGGUAGUUCUGACCCAAAUCAGAGGCAGAUCAACAGCCACUGGUGGUCAACCGCUAUGAAAUAUGUGGAAAAAAAAUCACAAUAAAGCUGACAUAAUUUACAAAAUUACAUUAUUUCAACGUUCAUACAAAAAUUACAUUACUAAAGGACAUUUUUGCAUAAAAUUCAUAAAACAAAUCACAAGUUUCUACUCUUUCCAACAAAAUUACAAAUUUCUAAUAUUCCCUACAAAUUUCAAAUAUUUCUAAUAUUCCCUACAAAUUUCUAAUAUUUCCUAUAAUUUCAAAUAUUUUCUAAAUUCCUAAAAUUUCCUACAAAUUAUAAAUUUCUAAUAUUGCCUACAAAAUUACAAAUUUCUUAUAUUUCCAACAAAUUUCACAAAUUUCCUACAUCAAAACCGAAGCUUUUACUCAUGCAAUUGGUAUAAAUCAAAGCGAUAAGCAAAUAUGUCUUUGGUUAUUUGGGAAUUUCAACAGGUUAGAGAAAGGAGAGUGAGCGAGAGGGUGAGUGGACGAGAGGGUAGAGAGACAGCACACGGAAAGAGAUCAGCAACGGUGCAAGGAAGAAGAAGAACAAUGCUCUCGGCCUGAUAUGAAAUAUCAGACCUUUGGCCAACAAAUCCAUUAGUCGGGGAAAAGUUUUGAAAUUGUGACAUGUGUAUUUUGACCUAAUAAAUUUAUUUUGACCUUUGGCCAACGAAAUUUACAAUAUUUCGUCAGGCAAACCCUUUAAUCUAGAGAAAAUUUUAAUUUUUUUUAGGAAAAAAUUGAUCGAAACUAAAGUUUGCCCAACAAAUUUAGUAUUCUUGCCUGACAAAAUUACAUAAGCUUGCCCAACGACUGUGGUAAAGUUCGUCAGGCAAACACCAAAAAUUCAAUUUUCCCUACUUUGUUUAUUUAUUCAAACGGUUAAAAGAUCAUCCAAUUUGAUGGUUAGGUCAAUUCAAUGUGUGGUUUUAGCCUCAGUUAGUGUUCUUGCAAAAAAUCAUCAAAAUCAAAGGUGAUAUAGGCAUUAAACUGUGAUGAUAUGUUUGUGAUCAUCGAACCAUUCAUCUCGUUACCUAAUCCCUGAAAGUUUGUUUUUAGUGAAUUUUGGCAUAUGCAAUCUCAUGCUAUAUUCAAACAAGUUUGACAGCUGAAUUGUUGAAAUUAGUUUCGUAGACUGCAUGUUCCGUCAAAACAAGAAUUGCGUAUUCUAUACUUCUAUGAAGUAAAACGUAAGAUUUUGUAGUAACCACUAGUGUAAAUAGUUUAAAAUUGAUGAUCGUAUUCAUUCAUUGUAUUCUUCUAGGGUUCAGGAAUAUAGUUGUAAAGAAUCAUCAAAAUCGAAGCUAAAGACUGUUAAAUCGUCAUGAUACGUUUAUAAUCGUCAAAGAAUUUUGUCCUGUUACCUCACUACUAGAAAAUUUGACUUUACUGACAAAAGUAGUUUGUCGGCAAAAGUCAAAAUUUGUCGGAAAAGUGUCUUUCCCGAGGAAAAAAUUUGUCGACAAUUUUGUCGCACAAAGCAUGUCACCUAACAGUUUUGCCGAUGAAUUUUGGUAUUUCGUAGGCUAAGAUUCAACUUUUCCCGUCAAAAUCUUUUUUGUCGGCAUUUCCAUCUUUUCCGACAAAUAUUUUUAUCCGUACAGGCCUUUUUAGCCGACGAAUAAUACUUUUAGCCUACAAAAUGUGUUUGCCGCCAUGGAUAUUUCGUUGGCUCAACUUUGUCUUUGCCGACAAAUUGGUUUUGUCAAGAAGACAUUUAAUGUAUAUAAAAAAAAAGCUUUAAUGCUCAACUCUUACAUAUGCAUAUCAAAAUAUAAUAGACAAUUGUUAAGAAAUAAUAUUUUACUAAUUGAUAAAUGUUGAAUGUACAUCCAGAGUGCCAUACAAAAGCAUCGUUAGUGAAAUCAUAAAACAAUUGAAGGAAUGUUGCACAUGAACCAAAUAAAAAAUAUCAAAAGUCGUGGACUGACUGUUCACACAAAAGCUCCCAUUGUCCUGGUCUCUUGUCCAUCUCUGCAGCAGGAUUGGCUAAUGGCUCCUCAGGCGACCCAAA
rnacentral:lncRNA from 1 species